rnacentral:rRNA from 1 species
GACGAACGCUGGCGGCGUGCCUAAUACAUGCAAGUAGAACGCUGAAGGAGGAGCUUGCUUCUCUGGAUGAGUUGCGAACGGGUGAGUAACGCGUAGGUAACCUGCCUGGUAGCGGGGGAUAACUAUUGGAAACGAUAGCUAAUACCGCAUAAUAUUGAUUAUUGCAUGAUAGUCAAUUAAAAGGUGCAAUUGCACCACUACCAGAUGGACCUGCGUUGUAUUAGCUAGUUGGUGAGGUAACGGCUCACCAAGGCGACGAUACAUAGCCGACCUGAGAGGGUGAUCGGCCACACUGGGACUGAGACACGGCCCAGACUCCUACGGGAGGCAGCAGUAGGGAAUCUUCGCGCAAUGGACGGAAGUCUGACCGAGCAACGCCGCGUGAGUGAAGAAGGUUUUCGGAUCGUAAAGCUCUGUUGUAAGAGAAGAACGAGUGUGAGAGUGGAAAGUUCACAC